rfam:Felis catus isolate Cinnamon breed Abyssinian chromosome A2, whole genome shotgun sequence.
GCCUGGGUGGCUCAGUCGGUUGAGCGUCUGACUUCGGCUCAGGUCAUGAUCUCACGGUUUGUGAGUUCGAGGCCCGUGUCGGGCU